UGGGCUUCUUUGUGGAAUUUCCACUGUGCCCUCAUUACAGACCACGUUGGAGAGGCCUGAAGAAGGGCCUGUCACAAAUGAGUUCACCUCAUUGUUUCCACCUGACCAAAAAAAAACACCGAAAGAAGAAAAAAGCAGAAAAAUGCAUGCUUAUUUUUCAAUCAGCCAUAAUGUUUGAAUUCAAGGAGAGAUGGGAAGAGAGCCUAUCAGCAGCACGUCUAAGAGAAUUCCAUUAAAGAGAAAGCACAUCACGUAAUGAGUGCAAACGCUGGUCUCAGAAACGUGUACAACCCAUGGCAUUAAACCAGUUGUGCAUAUUCCAUUUUCCUACUCUCCCUUUUGUGCUUGUCUUGUCCCUGCGUCUGGGGCCCAAAGGGUGCACCACACACCCACACGGGCACGCUGCAUCCUCUCCUGUUCCUGGAAGGCACAGCUCGUGGCACUGCUCCUAAGCAGAGACUGCAGCUCGCUGCCAGCACUGAAAUGAAGGAGGAAGGCUUGCACAGAUGGGCUCCCUCCUCAGCCGGGAAGCAAACAGCCAAGAAGCAGCCAGAAACCUUUUCUUAAAACCCUUCUCAGCUGUUAUCUGCUGUUUGACCCACACUCAGAUCCCCUCUGAGCUACAGGGUCUCUGGGAGGGCUCCAAAAGCAAGUAAAAGGGGCUUGGGGCUUUGUACAAGGGUAAAAGUGUGGACUUUAUGUAGGCGUAACCUCCAUCAGCCUGAAGCACUGCAAAGAGCCCUACCCCCUAUUAUGUGAAUUAGUUGGAGAGUAAACCAGCAGAGCAAGAGUGGUGAAGAUGCAUGAAGUAGAAGGAAAGACAGAUGGAUCUUCUCCAACUGAGAGGGUUAUUGCUCACCAAACACGUUUCCACCAGAGAGACAUUUAUGUUUUCUGGCUGAGAGUUAGAAGCAACCAUAAAUACAUGGUAAGCCAGUCACUGCUGUUCAGCAACGCUUCUGUUAAUUUGCAUAGGGCCUAUCUAAUGAUGUUGGCCUAUAAAACACAAAGAUUACAUCUCCUGAAUCACUCUCUGUUCUGAAAAUGACUCAUAGUUCCAAAAGAUUGGUUUAAACUUAAACAAAAGCGAGAAGGUGCAAGAGAAAUACAAUGAACCUAUCUACAUUAUGUUUGCUUUUCGCAAUGUAUUUAUAGUGAAACUUUUGUUCCAGCAAAGUCGCAGGCUGUCCCCGGGGCUUUGCACAAAGCCCUGAGUCUUCAUUCCUUCAUUCCUAUGUUUAAGCUUCCAGAAGUUUCUUUUAAAAACUUGAUACAUCUUUUAUAUAUAUAUACAUAUAUAUAUUGUAGUGUUGGAAUUGCACCACGUUUAGUCGGGCUGUUAUAAGUGAAGUGAAUCCUUUGUGAUUCAAAAGGAAAGGCAAGAUGUAUGGAGACUGUGGCAGGUCUGCUCUUAUGCUUAAAGAGAAGGUUAACACAAGACAUUCAGCAUGCGCAGACUGAACAAUGACCUUUACCUCAAAGAAAUCACUUUAUGCACAUAUGCUUUUGUCACUGAGUCAGGAGCUAGGGCCAAUAAUACCAAUAUAUGUAUGUUAAAAAUGUUUGGUAUGAAUAUUCUUUCCCUUUGCCCUGCAGUUCUUGAAAAUACAGGACUCUGUUUUUAAUUUGAGUAUCUUCCAAUGAACAGCCUCUUCCGAGUGCAGUAACAAUUCAUGCUGACAGGUACAGCCACACCUUAGUUUGAUCCAGUAAAGACCCUACGUAAGAAAUGCACCACUCUUUUCCAAACCCUCCUGCUCACUGCCUUUGCUUCUUGUUUCUGGACGGUCAUUAAAUGCGUGCCCUCCAAGCCCAUUUUCACUGGAGGCACAGCAGGCCAAUUCAUUGUCUGCAUUCCCCAGUCUGCCACAUACUUGCUUUGUGAUGUGAACCAAGCCAUGCUCAGACCCUCCAACACAUGGAGGAAUUUCUGACACGUAGGAGUCUGGCACCUCACUGUAUUGUAGAAUCUGAGCUUCUCUGUGUUUCUAUUCUCUCCCCACCAAAGUAUGACCUGAAAAGAAAUAUCAGAGAGCCUUCCCUGUUUCACGUGGACCUGAAAAAAUAAACACACUUUAGACUGAGACACUCAAAUAUUGUACUAAUGGAAACCUGAAGCUGUAUUAACAACAAACAGUUGAGGGGAAAAAGAAAAAAAAAAAAGUCUAUGUGGAAAACUGAAGUAUGGGUAUAAGGACACCUUCUAAGAGGCUUGGCAAGAAUUUUGCCCCACUGGGAACAUAUUUACUAAAACAAAGGGCUGAGAGUAGAAUGGCCCAUGCAGUGGCAAAGGGUGGCUACCAUUUCAUAUGCAUGCUCAAAGCUGCUUUUCCAAAUAAGCUCAUGCAUUAGCAAAGCAGUAAUCACUAGGCUUCCUGUGGAAUAAAACUGAGGUGUAGGUAAGAAUUUCUCUGCCCAAAUCUACCACUUGGGUUAUUUUUCUAAAGUAACACCAUGGAUUAAUUUCCUUACUAUGAGAAGAGAAAAUAAGAAAUAUUGAUCUUUAUUAGCAUAUGUGAGGCUGAUGUGAGGCUUUACCCCACAAGUCCACAGGGAGACAAGCACUAUCAUCUCUAGGCAAUAAACUUCUUUCGUGUGCCAAGGAACUCCAAUUUCUUCACUGCUAGCAGCUUGGUGAAUUCAUUCACUGGUCAAAUUAUACUUCACUUUGAGACUGAUUAUGCUUUAGCAUUUGUCUUGACUUACACAGAUGUAUUUAUUUGCUUUGAAAUAUUGCUAUCUACUUGAAUUUCAGUCCACACACUAUAUUAAACAGAACAAACUGAGCUUCACACUACUCUUACAUUGCAAAUUACAGCAGUCUUACUAUAGCACUGGAAAUCAGAAAAUGAUGCAAGAAGAUAAAUACCUCAAGCCAUAAGAAUAAAGAAGAACUCAUUCAUCAUUAGAGGGGCUAUCUUGUUUACUGGAAAGCCUCUUAUGGAUGCCUGGAGACUUACUUCUGAGCUGGGUAUGCUAAGCACCAGCUACCACCAGUCAAAGUGGCUGCAGUUCACUCACUGGAGGGGAGACACUCAGGCACCUGGAUGCCUCUGGGGGUCGCAGCUCAUAAUAAUUUAUUCAUUAUGUAAUAGUAACAUACAUAUGCUGCAGUUGGGUGUGAAUUCCACAGUAAACAUGCUUUGGUGAAUUAACCGUCUCAUUUAGUGCAGCAGGUUUUCAUUUAUCAAAAACUGAGUGCAGCCAUCACUCCAGUCCUUCAGUGUAAAAUACUACAAUUAUACAAUAAUCAUUUCUUAUGGAUAGUCCAACUGAGCUUGUAUUGACAUCUACUAGGUACACUGCCUUGAAAGUAGUACAAAUACAUCCAGAGGUGGCAUUCUGUAUGUAUUGGCAGAAUAAAAGUGAUAUGUAUUUUGUCUGUUUUCUCAAGGUCUGUUGACACUGCUAUGUAAAAAAAUAAAUACUAAAAAAGACAGCAACACAAAAACAACCAUGAGCAGGCUCAUGCAGUGGACUUCACACUGCUUAGAUGGCAGCCUCCUCCUCUGCUUUGGUUUGCAACACUCCAUCUUCCUGAAUCCAGGACACAUGCUUUAGAGGGAGCUGGCUGUAAGAAAUUUGGACCAGAGUCUGCCCAUGAUCUUGGUGACAGAGCUAGAGUUCAGAAAACUGGUCCUACUGAGUUUAGAAAGACAUGUACAGCCUUGAGCUCUCUAUCAUUGUUUUUCCUUAUAAAGAUAAAAUAAUAAAAAAAUAAAAUAUCUCCAAAUUAAAGCCUUUGAGCAUUAAUGGGACAAUGGAGAAAACGAUGACCAUCAGUCAACUGCCGGACAUAGAAAACCUACAAAGAGGUUUUCUAAGCUACAAAAAGCAAACUUUCGGCCUCCGGAAGUGCAAUAAACUGGAUGAACAGCUGCAGUUUCAGACACGCCUUAAGGAGAGUGAUGUUCCAUUCCUAAGGACCCCCUAGAAAAAUGAAUUCCUAAAUAAAAAGCUCAUGCACUAAGAUCUUUCUGCUAGCCAGCACCCAAGACAAAAUCUGUGCUCUCACCUCCAGGUCAUCAGCCUGUAUGAACAUCCAUUCUAGUUAGAAAGUAUGCUGUGCUGCUUCACUGAGACUUUUAAAGGUCAUCUUUCAUCCCCUACAAUCUUGUGUGAACUGCCACUUCUUCAAAGCCUUGCAAAGUGUGAAUUCAAGCAUGCAAACCACUAACAGUAUAGCAGGAACUUGUACCAACAUAAUGCAGUCGCUGUUUUAAGGUCAGGCAAGUAGUUCACUGUCAUACUGUCAGAGAUACCAGUCACUAGCACACUCCCAAAUAACGUGUUCAUUUGGGCAGAAAAUAAAAGAACAAUAAAAGAAAAGUCACUUCAAUUGUAGGAGUCACCAUGUGACUCUUCUAUAAAAUUUACAUAUACCCAAUACCAUCAGAGUAGUAAAACUCAAUAAAACCUUUUGAAAAUGAGACAGGUAGGGGUCUUUACAUUGUGAGCUGAUCUUGUGCUGAGGUCAGCAGCACGUGAUGAAGCCUGUAGCACACAGCAGAAGAGAAGCCUUCCCCUCCUGCACCUCCCUGACACAUAAUCACAUUCCCCCCAUUCCUAGCCACCCGCACCCCACACCUGCCAGCUCUGAGCCACCCUUUGUGCAGAGAAAUUCCCUGCAAGUUUGGAAGGGGCUAUGGGGAGCUCAGUCAGCAGACAGAGAUGCCUCUCUUUGCUGCUGGGGGCAAAGGCCGGGUGGGAAACACCACCCAGCUCUGUGGGAAAAAUUAGGGGGCCAAGGAGCGCCGGGGAGGGGGCACAAGACAAGUGUUGCAAGACAGUGUAAUGGUAGUCACGGUAGUUAAUUUUGCUAUAGCUUGGUAACAGGCACAUUUAAAUGCUAACAAUGUCCUAAUACAGUUCUCUAUUACCCCUCUCCAAAUCCUCAGUUAUGAUGAGGAUUUAUUUAUUCUCUGCUUGAAAAUGUUUACUCAACAAGCAAUAAUGAUUCUGUGCUGCCAACCCUCCGUGUCAUUUGUGACACUUUCACAGGAGCCAUAAUUUCCUUUCAUGAAAAGGAAGAAUGCUGGCAGCAUGGCUCAGCAAAUGAGAUCAUCUUUUCUGCAAGGCAAACCGCCUGGGAAAGAAAAUCCCCAGCUCAUAAAUAUAUUUGAGAUGUUUUUCUCUCUGAGAAACGCCCAAAGUUUUCAAUGAAAAGAAAUUAACGCAAUCAAAGACAAAUUUCUACCACAGCGUUGGUAUACAUAUGAGCUCUGUGUUAGCAGUAUGUAAAAGGGAUAUAAUCACUGUGUAUAGUCCUGAGAAAGAAACUUUGCAUACUAAUUUUACUUUUCCCUUCGUAAUGAUUUUACAGCUCAGUGUUUAAAACCUUCAGAAAGGGCACGGGAGAGCCAUGUUCAACUUCUUACUCCACCAUGCAUUUAAACUAUUGACAUAAACUCAAAUAGCCACAACAGCAGAAGUAAAAAAUAAAAUAAAAUUCCAACAACAAAAAAGUACUCUUGGUGCUCAUGGCAACCUUCACGGCCCUUCGGAAACUGCAUCAGACUAUGGUCAGGCAGGGCAGGGUUGUGGGGAGCUGGAGCCCAUCCCUGCUGCCUUACUGGGGCAGGGGUGAGUGGCACUGGGAUGACGUGGUGAUCCUGGCCAUGUGAGGGAGCCUCAGCAGUGGACAGGGACAGGGCAUUAGUACCCUCAAGCCAUUAGUGUGCUCAGGGCACUGAUAGAUAUUUGAAAUAUUUUCUGCUUUGGCUAUAGGUAAGCAUGAUUAAUAAAUGCAGACUGCUCACUGUCUUCAUUACCUGGAGACUUUGAUGAAGAAUUACACUUUUUUUUUUUUUUUAAUUUUAAUGAUUUCUAUGAAACAUAUCUAGCUUGCCAGUAAUCGCAUUAAGGCCUCAUGUUAAGAUAAUCAUUCACUCACAGAAGAAAAUGUAUUGAAAGGGACCUCUGAAGAUCACCAAGUGCCCUCUCCUACUCAAAGUAGAGCCAACUUCAAGUUAAAUAUGUUGUUUCAAAAAGUCCUCUGGCAUGGAGUUUCCUAAGCCUCCUCAGAUAGCAGUUAGACUCAUUGACCCUUACCCUUAUCCAGACAAAACAAUCAGUUUAUCUGCUCAUCAGUUUUUCAUGCGUAUGUUCACGCUUUGUCAAUCAAUAUCUUGCUGGUACCAAGGAACCUGAAGCUAGGAAAGGUAUUUCAAAUGUGGUGUCAAACAUGAAACAUGAAUAAUCACUACCUUUAGCUUGAUUGAUAUACUUUUACUACCUUAGCCCAAUAGAUGGUUGGUCUUCAUCACCUAAGGGUACAAAGCUCCCUUGUGUUCAACUUGCCUGUAGCGUGCCUUCCUGCAGAGCUGUUAUCCCGGUGGAUGCAUGACAUAACUCCAUCACAGGUGCAGGACUUUGUUUAUAUUCAUGAUGUCUCUACCAGCCCCAUUUCUCUAGCUGUCAAAGUUCCUCCAAGUGACAGCCCAGCCCUGCAGGGUAUUAAUUGCUCACUCCAGUUUGGUGUUGUUCAUGAAAGCAAAAUCCUACCCCAUCAGCAAGAUUGUUGAUGAAGAUGUUAAAAAACAAUUUCUCUAGCAUCAACACUUGAGGGAUGCAUCUUCAACUGGUUGUCAUUUAAACUUUUAAGUACUGACCUCUACACCUCAAACCAAACAAUCCAGCCAGUUUAUCACUAGCUUCGUAGUCUAGCCGUCCAGUUCAUACCUCUUCUGUUUGUCUAUAAGAAUUUCUAACAAACUAGAACAAAGAUCUAGCUAGAAUCAAGGUAAUCUACAGGCACUACUCUUAUCCAUAGAACCAAUCAUCUCACCAUGGAAAGUAAUCAGGAUUGCCAGGCACAGUAAAUCCACACUAGCACUUUCCAUUUACCUUUCUUCUCUUUAUGUGACUGGAAAAGGUUUACAAAAACCAUUUGGACGUUGUGCUCAGGGACAUGAUUUAGUGGAGGGUUGUUAGAGUUAGGGUAAUAUGGUCAGGUUGUGGUUGGACUUGAUGAUCUUUAACAUCUUUUCCAACCUGAGCGAUUCUAUGAUUCUAUGAUUCUAACAGGCUGAGGUAAGGCUCACCACCCCUUGGUUUCCAGAUCUCUUCUACCACUUCUGAAGACGAGCAUGACAUUUCUCUUUCUCAACUCAUCCAACAGCUGUGUUCACCAUAACGUUUGGAUGAUAAAAGAGAGGUACCUGGUAAUGACAUCUGCCAACUUCCUCAGCACCUUGAAAUGCAUUAAUCCCAUCCAGGCCUAUCACCUUCAGUACUUCCAGUUUAAGUAGUUUCUAACUUGAUUGUCCUUUACCAUUUGUAAUACCUCUUUCUCUCAAGUUUUGCUACUGAACAAAAGGAGCCUGAUAAAUCUGAGAGGAGAGCUUGCUAGUAAAAACCAAGGCAAUGAUGACACUGAACUUGUUUGUAUCCUUUGGUACAAGACUGCCUAUCCCAUUCGAGGUCCUCAUUGUAUACCCAGGUGAUACUUCCUAAUUUCUUACAGGUGGCUUGACCCUGCUUCCAGCUACUAGCUUCUAUCCAUUUCUUUUCUACGCUUAGGCUAUCUUUUGCUUUUCCAUUCUUUCUUUCUUUCUCUCUCUCUCUCUCUCUCUCUUUCUUUCUUUCUUUAUUCUGAUUUAAAUAGAAUAUCCUUGAUGUCUAGCCAGUUCUCCUGGGCAUAUUUGCCCUUCAACCUCUCAUGAGAUCCUUCCUGCUAAUUCCCCGAAAAAGCCCACAAAGUCCUAAGCUGUCAGACUACUAUUCCCUUUCCUUAAUUCCUUUAACAUCUUUUUAUGGUCACUGUAGCCAAGUCUGCUGUCAAGCUUUCUCAUUCUGUACCAGCUCUUACAUAUUCAGAAGGUCAGGUCAGUGGAGCCCUUCUAGUCAGUCUACCUAAGUGAACCACAAAAUUGUCCCCCAUGUACUCCAGAAAUCUCAUCAGCUACCUGUUCCCUGAUGUGAUGUCCAUCCAGCAGAUGUCAGAAUGAUUCAAGACUCCAUUUGAGAAGCAGGGCCUAUGGGACUUAUUCCAGUUGUUUAAGGAAGGCUAUGCUCUUCUUGUCUGGGCAACCAGUAGCAGAAUCCUAUCACUAUGUCUGCUUCAUGGCCUCCCUUCUGAUCCCAUAAACUGCUGACAGACUUGUCCUUUUCAUAGCAAAGCUCCUUGCAUCUGAGCUGCUUUGUUAUACAGAGCACAAUUCAUCAUAGCCCUCCAGUCAGGGGAACCAUCCUACAACACUGUGGCUGAAGAAACAGUUCUAAUGCAUUGUUGCGAACUGCAAAAUUAUUGACUGCUCAAAUGGUUUUCCUGUGAAUUUCAUCUGCUUUCUAGCUCUGACUCAGUCUCUGAUCAGUAUGGUAAAUGGGUUUGAUAGAACCAUGCAGGGAGAUGGCACUUUUGUGCUUCCCUCUACUUACACUGCUUCUAGGUCACUCUUUAGAUUAGCAUCUUCUCCUCUAGUUCAGGAAAUGGGAGAUGUUCUUAUGAAGACUGGAAUAAAUUUUCUCAUUCAAUAGCUAAUGGAAACCUAACUUCUCUCAGUUGCUCUAAGGUUGUGAAGUAGCAUUCAAAAAGAUCAUCUUAAUCCACUAUUUGGCAAUGCAAGUUACACACAUGGACCAUCUGCCUCCUGUUUAUCCUCUUCUUUCAUGGACGUUCUCUUUCACUCUCAUUUCAUAUUAAAUUUCUGGCUGAAGAUAAAGCUGAACAUUUGGUUCAAGCAGCAGAGCCACCUGAUGUCUAUUUGCAGAAAACAAAACCAAUCUAUUGACAAGUCAAGGACUAGAUUUUUUUAACACACAGUUAAUCAAAAUAGCAUUGCAUAACAUUUUAUAAGAGUAAUGUCUCACUAAUCUGAGAAAACCCCUCAUGGCUUUGUCCUAAACAGACUCCCAACUAUCACUGCUAUUGUACUCUAAACACUUUUAAGAACUAUACACAAGCCUUUUCUUCUUCAUAUCCUACCAAUAAUAACAUUCUGUAUCAUUCAGAGAAAAUAAAUCUAAUUUUUUAUCUUAUAUGAUAUUGCACCUAUACUACCAGUGGGUAUCUGCAUACAAUCUACAGCUUUCAAGUGGCUCCCUCAGUCUAAGUACAAAGGCAUAUAUACAUGCCACAGAAAAAAAAGGCCUUGGGAACAUUUGUUCCUAGUUGCUAAAGAAUACAUCAUAAACAUAUAUAUAAUGUAAGGAAAAAUUCAUAAUAAGCUAAUACUGUCAAUAUAUAGAAGAACAGGAAACUGGAGCUUAAAUUGACAUGACUCUGACACUGCUCCGACAAAUGCUGUUGCAUUUCCCUGCACAGCAAAUCCUUCAACUAUAAAGUUGAGAGUACACUCAGAAAGACUCUUCAAGAGUGAUUUUUUUAAUUUCUUUUUUUGUAAGGCUCAAAGGUAACGUGAGUACCAACACGAGAGCGUGAGCUGGGGAGCUGCCAUAGUUUAAUAAAUUAAAUGGCUAUCGCCACCUACUGGCUGUAUUGCAAUAUUAGUAUUUUAAAAUGUGAUUUCAAGCAUAGGAAAUCAAAUACGUGCUUUAUCCGUACAAAAAUUACGUACUCUACUAAUAGAAUAAUUCACUGGUUCAAUCUUCUUCAGUGAGGACAUUAUACUUACAGUUUUCACCACUUGACAAGGUAUGUCAAUAAAGCAAUGUUGUAUAUUCACAAAUUCCAUAUCUGGAUAAAAUUUGACUAUUAAUAAAUGUAAUUAUUGUCCUGGCCUGUCUGUACCUGCUUCAUAUACAACAACAAUAAACAACAUAUUCAGGAUGUCAGAUGUGGGAACCUAUUUUUGACCUAAAGCACAAUGGCUCCUGAUCACUGGAUGGGUGUAGGUGUUAGAAAUAUUACCAUAUUUAAGCAAGGCUAUGGCCAUGAACCAGGUGAAGAAUACAAUAAAUAGAUUGUAUCAUUUGUGCUGUUAACAAUCAAUGGAAUUAACUGCACUCAAUGUCCUUCUAAUUCUCCUACAUCUAAGCAGCACUGAAGAAUGACAUCAUAUUCUGAAGAAAAGAAUUCCGUUUUAGGAGCACAGUUAAUCACAUUUGCAAUAGCAUUUUUCAAGAUAACCCAAAGCGAAAUGAACAAGAUGAGUUUCAAGGAAUUUUGGUAAAUGAUAAGGAGAGGAUGCUGUCAGUUCUGGUUCGGACCACGCGGCGAUAGUGAAAACAAAAGAACAAUGGAGAAUGAAGAAAAUCACCUUCAUUCACAGCAGCACAAAAUUUUUUAUCUCCUGCUUUGUCAGCUGAUAGUUGCUACAUCACCUAAUGCACAUUAUUCUACCAAUUCAGCCAGUAGAGCACUUCUUCAAAGCUUCUAAGCAAAUUAUGUGACUUAGUUAUUAAUAAUUAUUAAUGCGGUUUGCCUAAAUUUGUACUGAAACAGGACAGAGUCCUUAGAUAGCUGGCUGUAUAGGUAAAGGCAGCAGCCUUUGCCUUCUGAAUGAUGACGGUUUGUUUUGGGAAGCAGGUUUCUUAGCUCAGUUUAACCAGAAUGUAGAUUAACCAGAGGAUGUUUGCAAACACCCUCAAUUACAGUCAGUUACACAGCGUGGAUGUUCUCAUUCAGUUGUGAAGUAAUUUUACCUUUUGGCUUACUAUGCAAUAAAAUGAAAUCACUCUACUCCAGAAAGAAAUUAUCCGCAGGAGAGUUUAAGAUAGAGUAAUUUAGGUGUAUUGACUUUAUGUGUUCAGCCAAUUUCCUUACAUUUAUGGAUUGUUCCUGUGCAGACCAGCCCUCUUAAGUUUCACAUAUGGAUAUGUCAGGCACAACGUAGUCAAGAAAAUUUACACAUUCAGCAGAAACUCAUAUUAAAUAAACACCCUGUAAAACUUGGCAGGAGCACUCAACAUUUCAAGUGGGACACAUACCAGUAAGUAGUCUCAAGCAAACAGCUAUUUCCCUUUCAGAAACAGAAAGCUAUUCUGUCCUUCUCUCCCAUUGCCAGGAUUUACUUUGAGGAUUCCUUCUGAAGACAGAAACUGUUGUGUUAAGAGUGCACUAAAGCCAUUCUGCAGAGAAUGCUUGGAAAACAAGCAGGUGAUGUUAGCUUAUUUUAGAAAGCAUCUGUAAAAAUGUAAAAGCUAUCACGGCUCCCUAAACAACAUUAGGUAUUCAACCCUCCCCUGUGAGAAACUACAGCAUAGUGAAGUACUGCAAUACAAAAUUACUGUAGCAUCAUAGUUUGUCUCUUUACCAAAUAAAGAUUACUUUCAGGAAUUCAUUUGGCCAUAGCUCUGCUAUAGCAUUUACCUUGGCAAACAAAAGUAGCAGCAUCCAAAAUGAUUCCUUUAUGGUACCAGUAUAACUAUACUGCAGGUUCACUGUAGUCUGGCUGUAAAAUCUCUUUGUUUUAUUCUUUUCCUGUGCCCUCCUGCCCUUCGAUAACUUUUCAGAGCACUGAAAGUUACGUGCCAUAGGUAAGUGAAGUUGAAGGUUUUUGGCAGCUGGGAAGAGGUUUAACUCAAUACACAGCAUGUCAAAACACAGCACUGAAUAUAUGAAGGACGUGGUCUUUUGUUUCAGUACAACCACCCUGUAAAGAAAGGUGGGCGGGGGGUAACAGCCAUUUAUCUCUCUGAGAACAAAUCUGAGAGCAACCAUGGGAUGGCGGUCUCGAUUCACACAAGUAUAGCUUAAACACCAACCUGCAGGAAGACUUGCAUAGACAGAAUAAGCACAUCCAGCCACACGCUCUUCGUCCAGAUGCAUAGAAAGUUAGUUAAUUUCUUCAAAUUUAU
ensembl:lncRNA